rnacentral:rRNA from 1 species
CACGUAGGGGACGAGCGUUGUCCGGAUUCAUUGGGCGUAAAGCGCGCGUAGGCGGCUCGGAAAGUCGGUCGUGAAAUGCCGGGGCUCAACCCCGGGACUGCGUCCGAUACUCCCGAGCUGGAGGCAGGUAGGGGAGAUCGGAAUUCCUGGUGUAGCGGUGAAAUGCGCAGAUAUCAGGAGGAACACCGGUGGCGAAGGCGGAUCUCUGGGCCUUGCCUGACGCUGAGGCGCGAAAGCGUGGGGAGCAAACAGG